CUGGAUCGCUUCUCCACAAAUAUAGGUGGUCCGCACCACCCAAGAAAGCAUUGAAACUCAAUAUUGAUGGUGCACUAUUCUUUGACUCAAAUAAGUCUGGGAUUGAAAUCAUUUUACGGGACCACGUGGGGGAAACAAUUUUGUCUGCUAGUGGUCCUGCAAACACAAUCCUGGAACCAGGACACAUUGAAGUUGAUGCACUUGUGAGAGGUCUACAACUGUGUCUUAACCUUGGAAUAUCUCGCUUAGUGGUGGAAAGUGAUUGUUUGUUCCUUGCCAACGAAAUCAAUAUGCCAAGCUCGUCCUCAGCGUUAAUCCAUUCUCAAGUUACUGAAAUAAAGGAAUUAAUGUAGAGAUUUCCUCAAAGUAACCUUCAGCACUGUAACAGACUGAGUAACCUAGUAGUACAUUCCCUAGUGCGACACGCAUAAUCCCUCGAAGACAUUUUCCUCUGGUGGCAUAGUAUUUCUUUAUUCCGUGAAAAUGUAAUUUUCUUUGAUAAACACUAUUGUACCCUUUCUUAUGGCUUAUUACUUUAUGGAUGAAAUAUUUUCACAUAAAAAAAAAAAAUUACUAUUGUGAAACCUUCAAAAUACCUCAAAGAACACAUUUUCCCUGGGGUUGUGCAAUUUGACUAUCAGUUAAUAUAGGCACCAACAUUACGAGUGACAAUAAUAACAAGAACACGAAAAUAAAUGCAAAAGAGAAGUGGUCGCGUGACAGUGAGAGCUACUUGACUGACAAUGAAGAUGCCCUGCCUCUCAUGAUGACCUCUUCAAACUCUUCCCUAGUGUCAUCAAAGGAAAUCGACAAGAGGCUCCAGUGGGAUCCUAUGAUAGAGUUCAGUUUGAGCUUUCAUGAAUUAGAUAGUUUGUAUUGGAAUUUAAUCGAUCUAUUUGGGGAGUGAAGAUAAUUGUGUAACCGAUUGACCCAACUGUUUUAUUUUGCAUAUUAUUUUCCUUCGUGUAUAUGUAUUGUCAUCCAAAGAGGAGGCACUAGUCUAUAGUCUUGUCAAUUUUGAAGCAAUUGAGAUUUUAGUGAGGGUAGAAGAUUAUAAUUGCAAUCUUCUGCUUGGUAAGGUGACCUGAAUUUCAUUUGGAAACUGAUUUGAAAUCCCAGAGGUUAUGCCAUUUGGUUCAACAGGAAGAGAAGUGACACAAAUCUACUUAUUGGUGCAUUUGCUAGAGGACCUGAUGCUUAUGACAACUUUGGUGAUCACAGAGAUAAUUACGAUCAAACUUAGCCUGCUAUCUACAACAAUGCCCCCUUAUGGGCUUAUUAGCAAGGCUACAUGGUGGUCACAAUGGAUACAACCAGCUCUUUCCAGUGGAACUUCCUGCACUUAAACCGGUUAAUACUCAGUAGAAAGCAGCCCCAAAACCUGAAGUAACUCCAGUGCCAGGCAAUUGUUAAAGAAUUUCAAGCUUGAUGUGAAAGAACCAAUUCCAUGUGAUCGAUAUAGGUAAUCCCAACUUUACACCAUUCUGAUGGCAAAGUACUAGUGGUCAGAUGAACUUGGCAACAAGGACACAGGUGGCUCAUCUGGCUCUCAAGCAUCGCCUGAAGACAAAGCAACAACAAAGGAUUAUUGUAUUUGGUGGAGCUUAGUCUCUACUAUUACUUCUAAUUUCAUUAUGCUCACUUUUUUUCUUCUUCCUUUUUGUUUUGUUUUGUUUAGUUUAAUAAUUUUUAAAACUUGUGAUUUUAGUCUUGUGAAAUAUGACAAAGGAGUUGGAGAUGACUGGUGGGAAUUGAAAAAAGAAAAACCAUGUCUCUUGAUUCAAGUUCAAGACUAUCCAUUUGAUACCUUAUAUUUUUUGUAGGCAGUGGAUGGCGGUGGUGUUGCAGGCAAAAGAUGCACUGGAAUGGGCUUAUAGAGGAGAAGGAGCUGUCAAGUCAAUUGUGUUAUUGCUCAUUCUGUAAAAUCUCAUGAUUUUAUAUGUUUUCUUCUCCUCUUUUUUAUUCUUACCUUUUGUUGAAUCAAAUAUUUUUGACUUUCACUUUUGCUUAUCCUGCGAAUAAAUAUUGUCUUUUAACACACCGAUUUUAUGAACAAACACCUUUUUAGUUAUUUA